rnacentral:rRNA from 1 species
ACGGGGGGAGCAAGCGUUGUUCGGAUUUACUGGGCGUAAAGGGCGCGUAGGCGGCGUGACAAGUCACUUGUGAAAUCUCCGGGCUUAACUCGGAACGGUCAAGUGGUACUGUCGUGCUAGAGUACAGAAGGGGCAACUGGAAUUCUCGGUGUAGCGGUGAAAUGCGUAGAUAUCGAGAGGAACACCUGCGGCGAAGGCGGGUUGCUGGGCUGAUACUGACGCUGAGGCGCGAAAGCCAGGGGAGCGAACGGG